GAUGAACGCUAGCGGCAGGCCUAAUACAUGCAAGUCGGACGGGAUUUGGGAGCUUGCUCCUAAUGAGAGUGGCGCACGGGUGCGUAACACGUAUGUAACCUACCUUAAUCAGGGGGAUAGCCUCUCGAAAGAGAGAUUAACACCGCAUAAUAUAUUUUUAUGGCAUCGUAGAAAUAUCAAAUAUUUAUAGGAUUAAGAUGGGCAUGCGGAACAUUAGCUAGUUGGUAAGGUAACGGCUUACCCAGGCUACGAUGUUUAGGGGAUCUGAGAGGAUGACCCGCCACACUGGUACUGGGACACGGACAAGACUGCUACGGGAGGCAGCAGUAAGGAAUAUUGGUCAAUGGGCGGAAGCUUCAACCAGCCAUGCCGCGGGCAGGAAGGCGGUCCUAUGGGUUGUAAACUGCUUUUGUACCGCAAUAAACCCUUUGACGUGUAAGAGGCUGAAUGUACGGUAAGAAUAAGGAUCGGCUAACUCCGUGCCAGCCGCCGCCGUAA
rnacentral:rRNA from 1 species